rnacentral:rRNA from 2 species
AGAUUAAGUUAUUAAGGGCGCACGGUGGAUGCCUUGGCACUAGAAGCCGAUGAAGGACGUUACUAACGACGAUAUGCUUUGGGGAGCUGUAAGUAAGCUUUGAUCCAGAGAUUUCCGAAUGGGGAAACCCAGCAUGAGUUAUGUCAUGUUAUCGAUAUGUGAAUACAUAGCAUAUCUGAAGGUAGACGCGGAGAACUGAAACAUCUUAGUACCCGCAGGAAGAGAAAGAAAAAUCGAUUCCCUGAGUAGCGGCGAGCGAAACGGGAAGAGCCCAAACCAACGAGCUUGCUUGUUGGGGUUGUAGGACACUCUAUACGGAGUUACAAAAGAAUAAACUAGACGAAUCAUCUGGAAAGAUGAAUCAAAGAAGGUAAUAAUCCUGUAGUCGAAAGUUUGUUCACUCUUGAGUGGAUCCUGAGUACGACGGAACACGAGAAAUUCCGUCGGAAUCCGGGAGGACCAUCUCCCAAGGCUAAAUACUCUCUAGUGACCGAUAGUGAACCAGUACCGUGAGGGAAAGGUGAAAAGUACCCCGGAAGGGGAGUGAAAUAGAACUUGAAACCGUGUGCUUACAAGUAGUCAGAGCCCGUUAAUGGGUGAUGGCGUGCCUUUUGUAGAAUGAACCGGCGAGUUACGAUUUGAUGCAAGGUUAAGCAGUGAAUGUGGAGCCGUAGCGAAAGCGAGUCUGAAUAGGGCGUUGAGUAUUUGGUCGUAGACCCGAAACCAGGUGAUCUACCCAUGACCAGGUUGAAGUUCAGGUAACACUGAAUGGAGGACCGAACCGACUUACGUUGAAAAGUGAGCGGAUGAGUUGUGGGUAGCGGAGAAAUUCCAAUCGAACCUGGAGAUAGCUGGUUCUCUCCGAAAUAGCUUUAGGGCUAGCCUCAAGUGAUGAUUAUUGGAGGUAGAGCACUGUUUGGACGAGGGGCCCUUAUCGGGUUACCGAAUUCAGACAAACUCCGAAUGCCAAUCAAUUUAACUUGGGAGUUAGAACGCGGGUGAUAAGGUCCGUGUUCGAAAGGGAAACAGCCCAGACCACCAGCUAAGGUCCCAAAAUAUAUGUUAAGUGGAAAAGGAUGUGGCGUUGCCCAGACAACUAGGAUGUUGGCUUAGAAGCAGCCAUCAUUUAAAGAGUGCGUAAUAGCUCACUAGUCGAGUGACACUGCGCCGAAAAUGUACCGGGGCUAAACAUAUUACCGAAGCUGUGGAUUGUCCGUAAGGACAAUGGUAGGAGAGCGUUCUAAGGGCGUUGAAGCAUGAUCGCAAGGACAUGUGGAGCGCUUAGAAGUGAGAAUGCCGGUGUGAGUAGCGAAAGACGGGUGAGAAUCCCGUCCACCGAUUGACUAAGGUUUCCAGAGGAAGGCUCGUCCGCUCUGGGUUAGUCGGGUCCUAAGCUGAGGCCGAUAGGCGUAGGCGAUGGAUAACAGGUUGAUAUUCCUGUACCACCAUUAUUCGUUUUAAGCGAUGGGGGGACGCAGUAGGAUAGGCGAAGCGUACUAUUGGAUUGUACGUCCAAGCAGUAAGACUGAGUGUUAGGCAAAUCCGGCACUCUUAAGGUCAAGCUGUGAUGGG